UUCAAUUUUCAAUUCAGUUUUAUUUGUAUAGCGCCAAUUCAUAACAGAAGUUAUCUCAGGACACUUUUCAAAUAGAGCAGGUCUAGACCGAACUCUUUAUAACAUUAAUUACAGAGACCCAACAGUACCACCAUGAGCAAGACCUUGGAGACAAGGGCAAGGAAAAACUGCCUGUUAAAAGGCAGAAACCUAGGACAGAUCCUCCGGCUCUAGGUGGGUGGUCGUCUGU